GCUAGCAACUGUGCUCUGUGCCCCCGGGAAUGCAUGGCCACAAUUGUAUUUGCUCUUCUCUCAGUUCAAAUUUGUCCGAGGGGGUCCCUGGAGCGGUGGUCUCUGAAGGUGUAAUGAUGACCAAGGACGAGUGUUUCACCCACUUCCCCAGAGUUAUUUAUAUACAGUUCCUUCUCUACAAUAAGAAAUAAUACAAGUGUUUCGUUGGAUGGCGUAUACCAUGUGUAUCCUGUACAUAUGACUAAUAGAACUUGAGCUCAAGCUGGAUACUCUUACGUUUAGUCUGCCUGCACUCAACGGUCUUCAGAGAACUCUCCAUGCAUGCAGAGUCCAAAACAAAGCUGUUCAGAAGUCCAGUUUUCCCCGAUUUCGGCAGAUAGCAGGCCUAUUUAUCUACCCAUGAAGCAAGCCAAAUCGCCCUGAAGCUUCAAAUUUAAUUUUGAUCUUUCAUCAAAUAUACAUGGUGUAGAGGAGGGGGGAAAUCACCAGACAAUCACCUAAAGAUCAAACACGUGCCCACAUUCCUCAAUUGGUGACAUAGGCUGCAGCCCUAUAUUCCUCAUGACUGUCAUGUCUGGCUGAAGGUCCUGCGGGUUCAGGGAAAUGUUUUUUUUUUAAGUUAAUCUAUUUUUAAGCGCUGCUGUAAUUAAAGUA